GAUGAACGCUGGCGGCGUGCCUAAUACAUGCAAGUCGAGCGAACAGACGAGGAGCUUGCUCCUCUGACGUUAGCGGCGGACGGGUGAGUAACACGUGGAUAACCUACCUAUAAGACUGGGAUAACUUCGGGAAACCGGAGCUAAUACCGGAUAACAUGUUGAACCGCAUGGUUCAACAGUGAAAGACGGUCUUGCUGUCACUUAUAGAUGGUUCCGCGCCGCAUUAGCUAGUUGGUAAGGUAACGGCUUACCAAGGCAACGAUGCGUAGCCGACCUGAGAGGGUGAUCGGCCACACUGGAACUGAGACACGGUCCAGACUCCUACGGGAGGCAGCAGUAGGGAAUCUUCCGCAAUGGGCGAAAGCCUGACGGAGCAACGCCGCGUGAGUGAUGAAGGUCUUCGGAUCGUAAAACUCUGUUAUUAGGGAAGAACAAAUGUGUAAGUAACUAUGCACGUCUUGACGGUACCUAAUCAGAAAGCCACGGCUAACUACGUG
rnacentral:rRNA from 1 species